GGAUAAUCUGCCCUCAGGUGAGGAAUAAUCCCGGGAAACUGGGGCUAAUGCCUCAUAGGAGACGGGUGCUGGAAUGCUCUGUCUCCGAAAGGUCCGCCGCCUGAGGAUGAGUCUGCGUCCGAUUAGGUUGUUGUUGGGGUAACGGCCCAACAAGCCUUUGAUCGGUACGGGUUGUGGGAGCAAGAGCCCGGAGAUGGAUUCUGAGACAUGAAUCCAGGCCCUACGGGGCGCAGCAGGCGCGAAAACUUUACAAUGCGAGCAAUCGUGAUAAGGAAACCCUGAGUGCCUGUCAAUGCAGGCUGUUCUGGUGUCUAACACACACCAGGAGAAAGGGCGGGGCAAGACCGGUGCCAGCCGCCGCGGUAAUACCGGCUGCUCGAGUGAUAGCCACUUUUACUGGGCUUAAAGCGUUCGUAGCUUGGUCGUUAAGUCUCUGGGGAAAUCUUUUGGCUCAACCAAAAGGCGUCUCAGGGAAACUGACGAUCUUGGAACCGGGAGAGGUAAGACGUACUUCGGGGGUAGGAGUGAAAUCUUGUAAUCCCCGAGGGACGACCGAUGGCGAAGGCAUCUUACCAGAACGGCUUCGACAGUGAGGGACGAAAGCUGGGGGAGCAAACCGGAUUAGAUACCCGGGUAGUCCCAGCCGUAAACGAUGUGCGUUAGGUGUGUCAGUGACCACGAGUCGCUGAGGUGCCGAAGGGAAACCGUGAAACGCACCGCCUGGGAAGUACGGUCGCAAGGCUGAAACU
rnacentral:rRNA from 1 species